AAUCUGCCCUGCACUCUGGGACAAGCCCUGGAAACGGGGUCUAAUACCGGAUACUGACCUGCCAAGGCAUCUUGGCGGGUCGAAAGCUCCGGCGGUGCAGGAUGAGCCCGCGGCCUAUCAGCUUGUUGGUGAGGUAAUGGCUCACCAAGGCGACGACGGGUAGCCGGCCUGAGAGGGCGACCGGCCACACUGGGACUGAGACACGGCCCAGACUCCUACGGGAGGCAGCAGUGGGGAAUAUUGCACAAUGGGCGAAAGCCUGAUGCAGCGACGCCGCGUGAGGGAUGACGGCCUUCGGGUUGUAAACCUCUUCAGCAGGGAAGAAGCGAAAGUGACGGUACCUGCAGAAGAAGCGCCGGCUAACUACGUGCCAGCAGCCGCGGUAAUACGUAGGGCGCAAGCGUUGUCCGGAAUUAUUGGGCGUAAAGAGCUCGUAGGCGGCUUGUCGCGUCGGUUGUGAAGCCCGGGGCUUAACCCCGGGUCUGCAGUCGAUACGGCAGGCUAGAGUUCGGUAGGGGAGAUCGGAAUUCCUGGUGUAGCGGUGAAAUGCGCAGAUAUCAGGAGGAACACCGGUGGCGAAGGCGGAUCUCUGGGCCGAUACUGACGCUGAGGAGCGAAAGCGUGGGGAGCGAACAGGAUUAGAUACCCUGGUAGUCCACGCCGUAAACGGUGGGCACUAGGUGUGGGCAACAUUCCACGUUGUCCGUGCCGCAGCUAACGCAUUAAGUGCCCCGCCUGGGGAGUACGCCGCAAGGCUAAAACUCAAAGGAAUUGACGGGGCCGCACAAGCGGCGGAGCAUGUGGCUUAAUUCGACGCAACGCGAAGAACCUUACCAAGGCU
rnacentral:rRNA from 1 species